AAAAAAAUCUAGCAGAGGAGACACCAUCAUCUACAUCAUCUAGAAGGUAGUUUUCCCAGGGCAAAGCGCAUCCAUUGCACUUAGAAUAUGCUGACCCAUGCCAUUUCCCCAAAUGUGGAAAACUUGACUGCAUAGUAUGUGAUAACAGGGAACUGU
rnacentral:snRNA from 11 species